rnacentral:rRNA from 1 species
UUGGUCUCGGCGAUGAAGCCGGGCCGUGAGGCACCGGUGGAGCGUUCGGAAGUGAGAAUGUUGACAUGAGUAGCGACAAAGAGUGUGAGAGACACUCUCGCCGAAAGUCCAAGGGUUCCUGCUUAAAGCUAAUCUGAGCAGGGUGAGCCGACCCCUAAGGCGAGGCCGAAAGGCGUAGUCGAUGGGAACCGGGUUAAUAUUCCCGGGCCAGGAGGAAGUGACGGAUCGCAGAGCUUGUCAUCCCUUAUCGGAUUGGGAUGGCCUGUGAGCGGUUCCUGGAAAUAGCCCUCCAUGAGAUCGUACCCUAAACCGACACAGGUGGACUGGUAGAGCAUACCAAGGCGCUUGAGAGAACUACGUUGAAGGAACUCGGCAAAAUGCCUCCGUAACUUCGGGAGAAGGAGGCCCCGUCGGCGCGCAAGCGUUGGCGGGGGGCACAGACCAGGGGGUGGCGACUGUUUACUAAAAACACAGGUCUCUGCGAAGCCGUAAGGCGACGUAUAGGGACUGACGCCUGCCCGGUGCUGGAAGGUUAAAGGGAGGGGUGCAAGCUCCGAACUGAAGCCCCAGUAAACGGCGGCCGUAACAAUAACGGUCCUAAGGUAGCGAAAUUCCUUGUCGGGUAAGUUCCGACCUGCACGAAUGGCGUAACGACUUCCCCGCUGUCUCCAACGUAGACUCAGCGAAAUUGAAUUCCCCGUGAAGAUGCGGGGUUCCCGCGGUCAGACGGAAAGACCCCGUGCACCUUUACUACAGCUUCACACUGGCAUUAGGCCGGUCAUGUGCAGGAUAGGUGGUAGGCUUUGAACUCGGGACGCCAGUUUCGGUGGAGCCACCCUUGAGAUACCACCCUUGGCUUGCCUGAUGUCUAACCGCGGACCGUCAUCCGGUUCCGGGACCCUGUGUGGCGGGUAGUUUGACUGGGGCGGUCGCCUCCCAAAAAGUAACGGAGGCGCGCGAUGGUGGGCUCAGACCGGUCGGAAAUCGGUCGUCGAGUGCAAUGGCAUAAGCCCGCCUGACUGCGAGACUGACAAGUCGAGCAGAGACGAAAGUCGGCCAUAGUGAUCCGGUGGUCCCGCGUGGAAGGGCCAUCGCUCAACGGAUAAAAGGUACGCCGGGGAUAACAGGCUGAUACUGCCCAAGAGUCCAUAUCGACGGCAGUGUUUGGCACCUCGAUGUCGGCUCAUCACAUCCUGGGGCUGGAGAAGGUCCCAAGGGUACGGCUGUUCGCCGUUUAAAGUGGUACGUGAGCUGGGUUUAGAACGUCGUGAGACAGUUCGGUCCCUAUCUGCCGUGGGUGUAGGAGACUUGAGAGGAGUUGCCCCUAGUACGAGAGGACCGGGGUGAACGCACCACUGGUGGACCUGUUGUCGUGCCAACGGCAGUGCAGGGUAGCUAUGUGCGGACAGGAUAACCGCUGAAGGCAUCUAAGCGGGAAGCCCCCCUCAAAACCAGGUCUCCCUUGAGGGCCGUGGAAGACCACCACGUCGAUAGGCCGGAGAUGUAAGCGCGGCGACGCGUUCAGUUGGCCGGUACUAAUCGCUC